GAGACGCUGUGUGCGGAUGGUGGGUCAUGUUGUGCUGCGUGGGGGCCUGAAAUCCUCUCUGCUGAGUGACUGGAACCUGCCCGAUCCGCUCUGAGCUGGACUGAGGCUGUCUCCACUUGAGGACUGUCUGUUUCCUCAGAAGAGCAGCACUCUAUUGCAAACCCAAGAUUCCCAAGGCCAUUCAUCUCAACUUCAAAGACCAGUCUUUAAAGGCAUCAGCGUGUGGACCACACGGAGGGGAGAGAGAGCCCGACGAUCUUUUCAGCUGUCAUCACUAUUCGCUGGAGGGAUUUGCAGUAUGAGGUGGUGGAAUUCCCAAACCAGGCCGUGAUGCAGCUGCUCAGGAUGCUCUCUACCGUGCCUCUGUAGAAGGUUGUACUUC